GAAAACAGGGCUCAGGUUUUGCUUGAAAUCGAGCCCUAAAUUUGUGGUUUUGAUCUCCAAGAUGUACGAGGUUUUGAAGAGGGAAGAGAGACGAAGAUUUUGGUGGUGGUGGCGUCAUUGGAUUCAACUUGAUGGCAACGGAAUCGCGGUCUGAAACUCUUUCGUCGCGGUGACAGAGAAAUGUAGGAGAGAGAGUCAUGUCGGAGGAGAGAGAGAGCUGCCAUCUUAAUAAAAUCUGACUUCAGAAAAAUUACGGUUAUGCUACUACACUUCCGUUGACCAUAACUUCUUUGUUAAAACUCUGAUUUGGGCUCACUACGUGUCUACGAACUCGUAUCUACGAGCUCUGUGCAACAAUGCCAUUCAUUUCCCUACAAUCCUAUCGAAUUGAAAAGUUACCAAAAUAACCUUACCCGAAGGACAAAAUUGUAAUUUCACAAUCAAAUAAUUUAAAUAAAUGGUUAAAAUUGGGUCGGGGUGUCACUAUUAUAGUUACCAAAACUUGGUAAUUGUGACCUCUUGACUUGGACCUGGCCUCUCGACUCUUGCUUUCGGCCAAAGACCCAGUUCAAGGUUCAAGACCUUCAUAUCCAAA
rnacentral:lncRNA from 1 species